CCAGGCCCUAAGGGCAUUGCAGGUAUGACUGUUGUGUCACAUAUGUAUCGGUAAGUGGCAGAGAGGAAAGAGGUUAUACCUAAGCUAGGUGUUCUAGCCUAUGAACACGAGUGAUUAGUAGACUAAGAUU